rnacentral:rRNA from 1 species
CGCGGCCUAUCAGCUUGUUGGUGAGGUAGUGGCUCACCAAGGCGACGACGGGUAGCCGGCCUGAGAGGGUGACCGGCCACACUGGGACUGAGACACGGCCCAGACUCCUACGGGAGGCAGCAGUGGGGAAUAUUGCACAAUGGGCGCAAGCCUGAUGCAGCGACGCCGCGUGAGGGAUGACGGCCUUCGGGUUGUAAACCUCUUUCAGUAGGGAAGAAGCGAAAGUGACGGUACCUGCAGAAGAAGCGCCGGCUAACUACGUGCCAGCAGCCGCGGUAAUACGUAGGGCGCAAGCGUUAUCCGGAUUUAUUGGGCGUAAAGAGCUCGUAGGCGGUUUGUCGCGUCUGCCGUGAAAGUCCGGGGCUUAACCCCGGAUCUGCGGUGGGUACGGGCAGACUAGAGUGAUGUAGGGGAGACUGGAAUUCCUGGUGUAGCGGUGAAAUGCGCAGAUAUCAGGAGGAACACCGAUGGCGAAGGCAGGUCUCUGGGCAUUAACUGACGCUGGGGAGCGAAAGCAUGGGGAGCGAACAGGAUUAGAUACCCUGGUAGUCCAUGCCGUAAACGUUGGGCACUAGGUGUGGGGAACAUUCCACGUUUUCCGCGCCGUAGCUAACGCAUUAAGUGCCCCGCCUGGGGAGUACGG